rnacentral:rRNA from 1 species
UGGGGAAUAUUGGACAAUGGGCGCAAGCCUGAUCCAGCCAUGCCGCGUGAGUGAUGAAGGCCUUAGGGUUGUAAAGCUCUUUUGUCAGGGAAGAUAAUGACGGUACCUCAAGAAUAAGCACCGGCUAACUUCGUGCCAGCAGCCGCGGUAAUACGAAGGGUGCUAGCGUUGUUCGGAAUCACUGGGCGUAAAGCGCGCGUAGGCGGCGUAGCAAGUCAGAGGUGAAAGCCUGGAGCUCAACUCCAGAAUUGCCUUUGAAACUGCGAAGCUAGAGUGUCGGAGGGGAUAGCGGAAUUCCUAAUGUAGAGGUGAAAUUCGUAGAUAUUAGCAGGAACACCGGUGGCGAAGGCGGCUAUCUGGACGACAACUGACGCUGAGGCGCGAAAGCACGGGGAUCAAACAGGAUUAGAUACCCCCGUAGUCC